rnacentral:rRNA from 1 species
AUUGAACGCUGGCGGCAGGCUUAACACAUGCAAGUCGAGCGGAGAGAGGUAGCUUGCUACUGAUCUUAGCGGCGGAUGGGUGAGUAAUGCUUAGGAAUCUGCCUAUUAGUGGGGGACAACAUUUCGAAAGGAAUGCUAAUACCGCAUACGUCCUACGGGAGAAAGCAGGGGACCUUCGGACCUUGCGCUAAUAGAUGAGCCUAAGUCGGAUUAGCUAGUUGGUGGGGUAAAGGCCUACCAAGGCGACGAUCUGUAGCGGGUCUGAGAGGAUGAUCCGCCACACUGGGACUGAGACACGGCCCAGACUCCUACGGGAGGCAGCAGUGGGGAAUAUUGGACAAUGGGCGGAAGCCUGAUCCAGCCAUGCCGCGUGUGUGAAGAAGGCCUUAUGGUUGUAAAGCACUUUAAGCGAGGAGGAGGCUACUUUAGUUAAUACCUAGAGAUAGUGGACGUUACUCGCAGAAUAAGCACCGGCUAACUCUGUGCCAGCCGCCGCCGUAAGAC